rnacentral:misc_RNA from 1 species
AAAGUCGUAACAAGGUUUCCGUAGGUGAACCUGCGGAAGGAUCAUUAACAAAUUCAAACACUGACGUUCCACUUGACUGCUGUUGUUGGUUUCUCUUUCAUGGAAGUUUUUUUAUGAAAGAGAGGCUUCCAAUGGUACCAAGUGGAGUGUACAUCAUCAUACACACCUUUUGAUUGACAACACCUAGUGAUUAUCUAGUUAAUUUGUAGACAACUUUUAACAAUGGAUCUCUUGGCUCUU